UGGGGUGUAGUUCCUUUGGUAAAGCAUUUGCCUGGCAUGCACAAAGCCCUGGGUUCGAGCCCCAGCACCACAU
rnacentral:tRNA from 1 species